rnacentral:rRNA from 1 species
CGAUCACUUACGCCGAGCACCGAGACGAGUCCUAUGAGGACGAAGUGACUGACACCACGCUUCCAGGAAAAGCCACUAAGCUUCAGCUUAAGAAAAACCGUACCGCAAACCGACACAGGUAGGCAGGGUGAGAAUCCCAAGGCGCUUGAGAGAACUCGGGUGAAGGAACUAGGCAAAAUGGCACCGUAACUUCGGGAGAAGGUGCGCCCUUUGGUGUGGUCACGUGCGUGACUGAGCAUCGAAGGGUCGCAGUAACCUGGCCGCUGCGACUGUUUAUCGAAAACACAGCACUCUGCAAACACGAAAGUGGACGUAUAGGGUGUGACGCCUGCCCGGUGCUGGAAGGUUAAUUGAUGGGGUCAGCCGCAAGGCGAAGCUCUUGAUCGAAGCCCCAGUAAACGGCGGCCGUAACAAUAACGGUCCUAAGGUAGCGAAAUUCCUUGUCGGGUAAGUUCCGACCUGCACGAAUGGCGUAACGACAGCGGCGCUGUCUCCACCCGAGACUCAGUGAAAUUGAAAUCGCUGUGAAGAUGCAGCGUUCCCGCGGCAAGACGGAAAGACCCCGUGAACCUUUACUAUAGCUUUACACUGAACGUUGAGUUCUUCUGUGUAGGAUAGGUGGGAGGCUAUGAAACCAGGACGCUAGUUCUGGUGGAGCCAUCCUUGAAAUACCACCCUGAAGUGCUUGACGUUCUAACCUAGGCCCGUAAUCCGGGUCAGGGACCGUGUAUGGUGGGUAGUUUGACUGGGGCGGUCUCCUCCCAAAGAGUAACGGAGGAGCACGAAGGUACGCUCAGCGCGGUCGGACAUCGCGCACUGUGUGCAAAGGCAUAAGCGUGCUUGACUGCGAGAUCGACGGAUCAAGCAGGUACGAAAGUAGGUCUUAGUGAUCCGGUGGUUCUGUAUGGAAGGGCCAUCGCUCAACGGAUAAAAGGUACUCCGGGGAUAACAGGCUGAUACCGCCCAAGAGUUCAUAUCGACGGCGGUGUUUGGCACCUCGAUGUCGGCUCAUCACAUCCUGGGGCUGUAGCCGGUCCCAAGGGUAUGGCUGUUCGCCAUUUAAAGUGGUACGCGAGCUGGGUUCAGAACGUCGUGAGACAGUUCGGUCCCUAUCUGUCGUGGGCGUUGGAGAUUUGAGGGGGGCUGCUCCUAGUACGAGAGGACCGGAGUGGACGUUCCGCUGGUGUUCGGGUUGUCAUGCCCAUGGCAUUGCCCGGUAGCUACGAACGGAAGUGAUAACCGCUGAAAGCAUCUAAGCGGGAAGCACGCCCCAAGAUGAGAUCUCCCGAGAGCUUGACUCUCCUAAAGGCACCAUCAAGACUAGGUGGUUGAUAGGUCAGGUGUGGAAGCGCAGCAAUGCGUUGAGCUAACUGAUACUAAUGAGCCGUGAGGCUUGAUC